GUUCUGAUAGCUUAAAUAACCAAAGCCCUGGUUUUGUAAGCCAGAGAUGAGACCAACUCUCUUAGAACA
rnacentral:tRNA from 1 species